rnacentral:rRNA from 1 species
CCCAGACUCCUACGGGAGGCAGCAGUGGGGGAUAUUGCACAAUGGGGGGAACCCUGAUGCAGCGACGCCGCGUGGGUGAAGGAGCGUUUCGGCGCGUAAAGCCCUAUCGGCAGGGAAGAAGGAGGACGGUACCUGACUAAGAAGCCCCGGCUAACUACGUGCCAGCAGCCGCGGUAAUACGUAGGGGGCAAGCGUUAUCCGGAUUUACUGGGUGUAAAGGGGGCGCAGACGGCAGCGCAAGCCAGGAGUGAAAGCCCGGGGCCCAACCCCGGGACUGCUCUUGGAACUGCGCGGCUGGAGUGCAGGAGGGGCGGGCGGAAUUCCUGGUGUAGCGGUGAAAUGCGUAGAUAUCAGGAGGAACACCGGUGACGAAGGCGGCCUGCUGGACUGCAACUGACGUUGAGGCCCGAAAGCGUGGGGAGCAAACAGGAUUAGAUACCCCGGUAC